GACGAACGCUGGCGGCGUGCUUAACACAUGCAAGUCGAACGGAAAGGCCCUGCUUUUGUGGGGUGCUCGAGUGGCGAACGGGUGAGUAACACGUGAGUAACCUGCCCUUGACUUUGGGAUAACUUCAGGAAACUGGGGCUAAUACCGGAUAGGAGCUCCUGCUGCAUGGUGGGGGUUGGAAAGUUUCGGCGGUUGGGGAUGGACUCGCGGCUUAUCAGCUUGUUGGUGGGGUAGUGGCGUACCAAGGCUUUGACGGGUAGCCGGCCUGAGAGGGUGACCGGCCACAUUGGGACUGAGAUACGGCCCAGACUCCUACGGGAGGCAGCAGUGGGGAAUAGUGCACGAUGGGCGGAAGCCUGAUGCAGCAACGCCGCGUGCGGGAUGACGGCCUUCGGGUUGUAAACCGCUUUCGCCUGUGACGAAGCGUGAGUGACGGUAAUGUGUAAAGAAGCACCGGCUAACUACGUG
rnacentral:rRNA from 1 species